ensembl:snoRNA
AUUCUUUGUAGUUCAUAAACAUAAUGACUAGAUUUUCAUGCUCCUGUAUGAAAUGUGCCUCCCUCAGAAUUUGUAAAGGUGAUGUCAGCAUAUCACCUGUCUGACA